rnacentral:rRNA from 1 species
GAUGAACGCUGGCGGCGUGCCUAAUACAUGCAAGUCGAGCGAACGGACGAGAAGCUUGCUUUUCUGAUGUUAGCGGCGGACGGGUGAGUAACACGUGGAUAACCUACCUAUAAGACUGGGAUAACUUCGGGAAACCGGAGCUAAUACCGGAUAAUAUUUUGAACCGCAUGGUUCAAAAGUGAAAGACGGUCUUGCUGUCCCUUAUAGAUGGAUCCGCGCUGCAUUAGCUAGUUGGUAAGGUAACGGCUUACCAAGGCAACGAUGCAUAGCCGACCUGAGAGGGUGAUCAGUCACACUGGAACUGAGACACGGUCCAGACUCCUACGGGAGGCAGCAGUAGGGAAUCUUCCGCAAUGGGCGAAAGCCUGACGGAGCAACGCCGCGUGAGUGACGAAGGUCUUCGGAUCGUAAAACUCUGUUAUUAGGGAAGAACAUAUGUGUAAGUAACUGUGCACAUCUUGACGGUACCUAAUCAGAAAGCCACGGCUAACUACGUG